rnacentral:rRNA from 1 species
AUUGAACGCUGGCGGAAUGCUUUACACAUGCAAGUCGAACGGCAGCACGGACUUCGGUCUGGUGGCGAGUGGCGAACGGGUGAGUAAUGUAUCGGAACGUGCCCAGUCGUGGGGGAUAACGUAGUGAAAAUUACGCUAAUACCGCAUACGAUCUAUGGAUGAAAGCGGGGGAUCGCAAGACCUCGCGCGAUUGGAGCGGCCGAUAUCAGAUUAGGUAGUUGGUGGGGUAAAGGCCCACCAAGCCGACGAUCUGUAGCUGGGCUGAGAGGACGGCGAGCCACACGGGAACUGAGACACGGUGCAGACUCCGACGGGAGGCAGCAGGGGGGCAUUGUGGACAAUGGGCGAAUGCCUGAUUCAGCCAUUCCGCGUGCAGGAUGAGGGCCCUCGGGUUGUAAACUGCUUUUGUACAGAACGAAAAGGUUUCUACUAAUACUAGGAGCUCAUGACGGUACUGUAAGAAUAAGCACCGGCUAACUACGUGCCAGCCGCCGCGGUAA